GAAAAUUUGCUCUUUUAGUAUUUGUCCAGUAGGUUUCCUCAACGAGAAAACCCCC
ensembl:snRNA U7 U7 small nuclear RNA